rnacentral:rRNA from 1 species
AUUGAACGCUGGCGGCAGGCCUAACACAUGCAAGUCGAGCGGAUGAAGGGAGCUUGCUCCUGGAUUCAGCGGCGGACGGGUGAGUAAUGCCUAGGAAUCUGCCUGGUAGUGGGGGAUAACGUCCGGAAACGGGCGCUAAUACCGCAUACGUCCUGAGGGAGAAAGUGGGGGAUCUUCGGACCUCACGCUAUCAGAUGAGCCUAGGUCGGAUUAGCUAGUUGGUGGGGUAAAGGCCUACCAAGGCGACGAUCCGUAACUGGUCUGAGAGGAUGAUCAGUCACACUGGAACUGAGACACGGUCCAGACUCCUACGGGAGGCAGCAGUGGGGAAUAUUGGACAAUGGGCGAAAGCAUGAUCCAGCCAUGCCGCGUGGGUGAAGAAGGUCUUCGGAUUGUAAAGCACUUUAAGUUGGGAGGAAGGGCAGUAAGUUAAUACCUUGCUGUUUUGACGUUACCAACAGAAUAAGCACCGGCUAACUUCGU